rnacentral:rRNA from 1 species
UACGUAGGGUGCAAGCGUUGUCCGGAAUUAUUGGGCGUAAAGAGCUCGUAGGCGGUUUGUCGCGUCUGCUGUGAAAACCCGGGGCUCAACUCCGGGCUUGCAUUCGAUACGGGCAGACUAGAGUUCGGUAGGGGAGACUGGAAUUCCUGGUGUAGCGGUGAAAUGCGCAGAUAUCAGGAGGAACACCGGUGGCGAAGGCGGGUCUCUGGGCCGAUACUGACGCUGAGGAGCGAAAGCGUGGGGAGCAAACAGG